rnacentral:rRNA from 1 species
GAUUGAACGCUGGCGGCAUGCCUUACACAUGCAAGUCGAACGGCAGCACGGGUGCUUGCACCUGGUGGCGAGUGGCGAACGGGUGAGUAAUACAUCGGAACAUGUCCUGUAGUGGGGGAUAGCCCGGCGAAAGCCGGAUUAAUACCGCAUACGAUCUACGGAUGAAAGCGGGGGACCUUCGGGCCUCGCGCUAUAGGGUUGGCCGAUGGCUGAUUAGCUAGUUGGUGGGGUAAAGGCCUACCAAGGCGACGAUCAGUAGCUGGUCUGAGAGGACGACCAGCCACACUGGGACUGAGACACGGCCCAGACUCCUACGGGAGGCAGCAGUGGGGAAUUUUGGACAAUGGGCGAAAGCCUGAUCCAGCAAUGCCGCGUGUGUGAAGAAGGCCUUCGGGUUGUAAAGCACUUUUGUCCGGAAAGAAAUCCUUGGCUCUAAUACAGUCGGGGGAUGACGGUACCGGAAGAAUAAGCACCGGCUAACUACGUGCCAGCAGCCGCGGUAAUACGUAGGGUGCGAGCGUUAAUCGGAAUUACUGGGCGUAAAGCGUGCGCAGGCGGUUUGCUAAGACCGAUGUGAAAUCCCCGGGCUCAACCUGGGAACUGCAUUGGUGACUGGCAGGCUAGAGUAUGGCAGAGGGGGGUAGAAUUCCACGUGUAGCAGUGAAAUGCGUAGAGAUGUGGAGGAAUACCGAUGGCGAAGGCAGCCCCCUGGGCCAAUACUGACGCUCAUGCACGAAAGCGGGGGGAGCAAACAGGAUUAGAUACCCUGGUAGUCCACGCCCUAAACGAUGUCAACUAGUUGUUGGGGAUUCAUUUCCUUAGUAACGUAGCUAACGCGUGAAGUUGACCGCCUGGGGAGUACGGUCGCAAGAUUAAAACUCAAAGGAAUUGACGGGGACCCGCACAAGCGGUGGAUGAUGUGGAUUAAUUCGAUGCAACGCGAAAAACCUUACCUACCCUUGACAUGGUCGGAAUCCCGCUGAGAGGUGGGAGUGCUCGAAAGAGAACCGGCGCACAGGUGCUGCAUGGCUGUCGUCAGCUCGUGUCGUGAGAUGUUGGGUUAAGUCCCGCAACGAGCGCAACCCUUGUCCUUAGUUGCUACGCAAGAGCACUCUAAGGAGACUGCCGGUGACAAACCGGAGGAAGGUGGGGAUGACGUCAAGUCCUCAUGGCCCUUAUGGGUAGGGCUUCACACGUCAUACAAUGGUCGGAACAGAGGGUUGCCAACCCGCGAGGGGGAGCUAAUCCCAGAAAACCGAUCGUAGUCCGGAUUGCACUCUGCAACUCGAGUGCAUGAAGCUGGAAUCGCUAGUAAUCGCGGAUCAGCAUGCCGCGGUGAAUACGUUCCCGGGUCUUGUACUCACCGCC